GAUGAAGAACGUAGCGAAAUGCGAUACUUGGUGUGAAUUGCAGAAUCCCGUGAACCAUCGAGUCUUUGAACGCAAGUUGCGCCCGAAGCCAUCAGGUUGAGGGCACGUCUGCCUGGGCGUCACAUAUCGUUGCCCAAUGCCUAUUGCAGUGCAAUAGGAAUUUCUAGGGCGAAUGAUGGCUUCCCGUGAGCGUUGUUGCCUCGCGGUUGGUUGAAAAUCGAGUCCUUGGUAGGGUGUGCCAUGGUAGAUGGUGGUCGAGUUAGAACGAUACCGAUCAUGUGCAUGCUCCCCAAAAUAUGGCCUCUAUGACCCACACGCGUCUUUUGACGCUCAUGACGAGACCUCAGGUCAGGCGGGGCUACCCGCUGAAUUUAAGCAUAUCAAUAUGCGGAGGA
rnacentral:misc_RNA from 1 species